UCCCGGGUAGCUCAAUGGUGGAGCAAGAAGCUGUUAACUUCGAGGUUGUCGGUUCGAGUCCGACCCCGGGAGCCA
rnacentral:tRNA from 1 species